rfam:Myotis davidii contig144606, whole genome shotgun sequence.
ACCAUCGAGGUGCCAUGGCACAAGAUUCUUGGUGCCACCAUUGAGAACUCCAAGAUUGUCCUGUGGGUCAGCAAU